GGGCGGAUGUCCGAGUGGUUAAAGGAGACGGGCUGUAAACCCGUUGGCUCUGCCUACGCAGGUUCGAAUCCUGCUCCGCCCA
rnacentral:tRNA from 5 species